UUACGGCCAUAUCACGUUGAAAUGCUGGCUCUCGUACGAUCACCGAAAUUAAGCAACGUCGAACCGGGCCAUUACCUAAAUGGGUGAUCUCUUGGGAAUACCAGGUGCUACAA